rnacentral:rRNA from 1 species
UACUUAGGGUGCAAGCGUUGUCCGGAAUUACUGGGUUUAAAGGGUGCGUAGGCGGGAUAUUAAGUGUAAUGUUAAAAGUAUGAGCUUAACUGAUAGCAGGCGUUACAUACUGAUAUUCUAGAAUUAGUUUGAGGCUACUGGAACGAGUGGAGUAGAGGUGAAAUUCGUAGAUAUCACUCAGAACACCGAUUGCGAAGGCAGGUAGCUAAGGAGACAUUGACGCUGAUGCACGAAAGCGUGGGGAUCAAACAGG